rnacentral:rRNA from 1 species
AUUGAACGCUGGCGGCAGGCCUAACACAUGCAAGUCGAGCGGAUGAAGGGAGCUUGCUCCUGGAUUCAGCGGCGGACGGGUGAGUAAUGCCUAGGAAUCUGCCUGGUAGUGGGGGAUAACGUCCGGAAACGGGCGCUAAUACCGCAUACGUCCUGAGGGAGAAAGUGGGGGAUCUUCGGACCUCACGCUAUCAGAUGAGCCUAGGUCGGAUUAGCUAGUUGGUGGGGUAAAGGCCUACCAAGGCGACGAUCCGUAACUGGUCUGAGAGGAUGAUCAGUCACACUGAAACUAGGACACGGUCCAAACUCCUACGGAAGGCAGCGGUGGGAAAUAUUGAACAAUGGGCGAAAGCCUGAUCCAGCCAUGCCGCGUGUGUGAAGAGGGUCUUCGGAUUGUAAAGCACUUUAAGUUGGAGGAAGGGCAGUAAGUUAAUACCUUGCUGUUUUGACGUUACCAACAGAAUAAGCACCGGCUAACUUCGUG